rnacentral:rRNA from 1 species
GACGAACGCUGGCGGCGUGCUUAACACAUGCAAGUCGAACGGGCCUUGUCCCCUUUUUUUUGGGGGUGGGGUUAGUGGCGAACGGGUGAGUAACACGUGAGUAACCUGCCCCUCACUUCUGGAUAACCGCUUGAAAGGGUGGCUAAUACGGGGUGUUCUGGCCUGCUCGCAUGGGUGGGUUUGGAAAGAUUCGACCGGUUUGGUUGUUUUGGUGGGGGAUGGGCUCGCGGCCUCUCAGCUUGUUGGUGGGGUGAUGGCCUGCCAAGGCUUUGACGGGUAGGCGGCCUGAGAGGGGGGGCGGGCACACUGGGACUGAGACACGGCCCAGACUCCUACGGGAGGCAGCAGUGGGGAAUAUUGCACAAUGGGCGCAAGCCUGAUGCAGCGACGCCGCGUGAGGGAUGGAGGCCUUCGGGUUGGGAACCUCUUUCGCCAGUGAAGAAGGUCCUGCUCUUUGUGGUGGGGUUGACGGUAGCUGGGUUAAUGAAGCGCCGGCUAACUACGUG